GGAGAGUUGCCAGAGCGGACGAAUGGGACGGUCUCGAACACCGUUGAGGUGCAAGCCUCCAAGGGUUCAAAUCCCUUACUCUCCGCCA
rnacentral:tRNA from 1 species